GCGCCGCUGGCGCGGCGCGAAAGCACGGCCGCGCUGGUGGCGCGGCUGGCCCGCGAAACCGCCGCGGCGCGCGGCCGCGGCCGGGCC
rnacentral:tRNA from 1 species